UUUAGGACUGCAACUGGUCAGUCUCUUAUUGCAUAUGUGCAUACUGUGGGUAUCGUCGCUUAAAAUC
rnacentral:tRNA from 11 species